rnacentral:lncRNA from 1 species
UUCCAAACCAACAUGUGUGAAACAUAUAUUCUCCACUGGUUGAAUGCAAAUGGAAGCCAGAGGAAAAGGGAACCCUUGACACAGUUUUCAUAUAGAUUGGCCUCCAGGGCAGACAGCAGUUCCAAGAACCAGGAGGUUGUUUGCUGUACUCUCCCUUGUACAGUUAGCUGUCUCUAGUGCCUGAAUGCACUAAUUGUCCUUUGGGUAUGGAUGAGGUAAUGAAGGAAAGGGAUGCUGGGAAGAGAGGCCACAUGAGAAG